rnacentral:lncRNA from 1 species
AUGACUACUCUUAAAAGUUGAGAAACCAAAGUCGCCCUUACUUCAUCCCCAAACUGAGGAGCCACCUAAAUCUGUUGAAGUUCCCUCUGGGGUCCAAUCCAGAAGCCAUCAUAGCCUUCAGGGUCCAUGGAAGAAAGCAGUUCCAUUACAGAGAGCCCAGGAGUUCAGCCAGGGAAAAUGCUCACUGAAAAGCAGUAGAAGUGGAAGCUGUAAGAAUAUUAGAAUAACACAUGAUAGCUCCAACAAAAUUAUGAUGUCUCUGGGACAUCAUAAAGGAGAAUUCCUUAGUCAGAGGGAGUUUACAGAACCUAAUAAGGAACUCUCAGAGUAAAGAAUGUAUUGAAAAGCUCAAGAAUUAUGAAAGAAGGUUACUACAGGACAAAGAAGGUCUUUGAAACCAGCUCUGUAUACAGAAGGAGGUAAAUCAUGAGAUUAAAAAGUUGCUGAUGGCUUCUGUUGGGGAUGAUCUUCAGUAUCACUUUGAAUGUCUAGUCCUUGAGAAAAAUCAGCUUAUUUUAGAAAAUGAAGCCCUAGGUUGAAAUACAGCUCAGCUUUCCAAACAGAACGUAUGUCAAUACAGUGUGAUACAUGGCAAAGUAAAUUCCUUGCAAGCAGGGUAAUGGCAGAUGAGUUAACCAACGUCAAAAACGUGAUGCACGUGGGGCCAUACAGGAUCUCCUAAGUGAAUGGGAACAGUUUCUUCAGGAAAUGAUAGCUACCCAGAAAUUAUUGGAGGAGCUCUUAGUCUCCUUGCAGUGGGGAAGAGGGCAACUUUACUCCCCUAAUGUACAACCCCACAGCACAGCAGAGCUGGCAUUAACAAAUCACAAGUUGGCAAAAGCAGCAAAUUCUCAUCUUCUGCGAAACGUUGGCAUUAACUAUCAAAAAAAGAUUCCAUCGACAGUUGAAUUCUGCAGCACCCCAGCUGAGAAAAUGGCUGAAAUGGUUCUAUAAACUUUAGAUCCAACUACCUAUACAGAGAGCUCACCUGAUAAUCCAUGUUUUGAGUUUUCACCAACCACCUUACUUGCUGCAAAGAAAAAUUCUGGAUGAUUUCAUCCCUAGGCUAGAUAUGAAAAUAUAACUUUCAAUUUCUGCAGUCACUGCCAGGGAGAACUUACUGCCCUUUA